rnacentral:rRNA from 1 species
AUGGGCAUCUUCGACAACAAUGGCAAGGGCAAGGGCAACCCCGGCGCCUCGUCCUUCCGUGCUCCCCCUCCUCCUCCAUCGCUGGUGCGUUUUCGCCCUGAACGCCGGUGCCUGCACAUCCCGUUCCAUGGAGCCAGCGGGCGCACGACGACGAUGACGAGGUGCUGGCGCCGCGCACAGCUCACGCCGGAGCAGCGACGGCUGCCCGAGUACGCCGCUGACUCUCCCAACUGGGAGGCUUGGUUCGCCCUCGAACACGAGGAGCAACGGCGCUCGGGUGUCGAUGUCGUCCCACCGCUGUUCCCACCGCCGCCCCCGCAGGAGCAGGCCGACAGCGAGCAGCAUAUGCGCUACGAGGCCAUGCUCCAGCGCGAUGCGGAGGCGCUCCGGCUCGAGGAGGAGGAGGAGGAGCGCGCGCGGCUAGCCGCAAUGCCGCCGCCCCAGCAGACGCCGGAGGAGGCUACCUUGGCAGCGUACCAGGCGGCGUCCGGGUGGGCAGGCCCUGCUCCCGUCUUCAUCGACCUCACCGGCGAUGGCGACGGCGGCGUCGACGCCAGGGGCAAGGGCAAGGCCGACGACAUCUAG